GUAAAUGAAAGGAGCGAGGCGGAAUCACUGAUUAACAGAAGCCAAUACGUUGGAUUAAGCGCAGCUUUGGUGAACUCUGAUCCAGACACAAUACAUUUACUAACCAACUCCAUAGAGCAGAGUGUGAAGCGGCUGGGAUGAAAAUCAGCACCUCCAAAUGUGAGACCAUGGUCCUCAGUGCCCUCUCCAGGUCGGGGAUGAGAUCCUGCCCCAAGGUCAAGCAAAAAGACCAUAACAUCCUGACUGUGUUGUCUACUGCUCUCCCCUUCAAGAUGUGGCUCGCUCUACUCAUACAGAGCCCUUACAGAGGCCUCCCCAUCCCAGUCAGAAGCUGAGGAAUGGAACGGACUGACUCAAGAGCAUCUGACUUCCAUUGCCGGGUGCAGCUUGUGUGUUCCAUUUAGCCACUGGUAUUCUGAGAAGAUGCGCAGCAGCAUUACCAGAAGCCCGCUCUCAA